rnacentral:sRNA from 1 species
UCAAGAAAGAGAUAUUCCACAGGUGUA